GGGGCGGUUUCCGGAUUAUUGGGCGUAAGAGCUCGUAGGCGGUUUGUCGCGUCUGCCGUGAAAGUCCGGGGCUCAGCUCCGGAUCUGCGGUGGGUACGGGCAGACUAGAGUGAUGUAGGGGAGACUGGAAUUCCUGGUGUAGCGGUGAAAUGCGCAGAUAUCAGGAGGAACACCGAUGGCGAAGGCAGGUCUCUGGGCAUUAACUGACGCUGAGGAGCGAAAGCAUGGGGAGCGAACAGGAUUAGAUACCCUGGUAGUCCAUGCCGUAAACGUUGGGCACUAGGUGUGGGGGACAUUCCACGUUUUCCGCGCCGUAGCUAACGCAUUAAGUGCCCCGCCUGGGGAGUACGGCCGCAAGGCUAAAACUCAAAGGAAUUGACGGGGGCCCGCACAAGCGGCGGAGCAUGCGGAUUAAUUCGAUGCAACGCGAAGAACCUUACCAAGGCUUGACAUGAACCGGAAACACCUGGAAACAGGUGCCCCGCUUGCGGUCGGUUUACAGGUGGUGCAUGGUUGUCGUCAGCUCGUGUCGUGAGAUGUUGGGUUAAGUCCCGCAACGAGCGCAACCCUCGUUCUAUGUUGCCAGCGAGUCAUGUCGGGGACUCUAGGGAGACUGCCGGUGUCAAACCGGAGGAAGGUGGGGACGACGUCAAGUCAUCAUGGCCCUUACGUCCAGGGCUACACACGUGCUACAAUGGCCGGUACAGAGCGUUGCCAACUCGCAAGAGUGCGCUAAUCGCAAAAAGCCGGGUCUAAGUUCGGGAUUGUGGUCUGCAACUCGACCACAUGAAGCUGGAAUCGCUAGUAAUCGUGGAUCAGCUACGCCACGGUGAAUACGUUCCCGGGCCUUGUACACACCGCCCGUCACGCCAUGGAAAGCUGGGGGGACCUGAAGUCGGUGGGGCUAACCGCAAGGAGGCAGCCGCCCAAGGUCAAUCAGUGACUGGGGCGAGUCGUAACAAGGUAAACC
rnacentral:rRNA from 1 species